rnacentral:rRNA from 1 species
CACCAAAAAACCAAGUCAUAUUAAUAUGGUAAAAAGACAGUUAAGCAGUAAUUUCUUAGUUUCUUGAUUAUUUAUAAAAAAGUAAAAUUUGAAUAUAAAUAUAAUAAUCUAAUAGAAACUUUAUAGCUGAAUCUGUGAUAGCUUUGAGGGAAACUGGGAUUGGAUACCCCAUUAUUCUUAGUUGUAAAUCCAAUUAAGUAGUUUACCAGAGUACUAUGAAUAAAAAAAUUUAAAACUCAAAGGGCUUGGCGGUGUUUUAGACCACUCAGGGGAACCUGUCUCGUAAUCGACAGUCCACGUUAAACCUAACCUUCCUUUGCAACCAGUUUGUAUACCGUCGUCGUCAGGCAACUUCUAAAAAAUUAAGAGUUGGCUAAAGAAUUUACAUAAAUUAAAACGUCAGAUCAGGGUGCAACCUAUAGGAAGGCGGGGAUGGGUUACAGUUAUUAAAUUAUAACUACGGAAAGUCAUGAGAAUAAAUGACUUGAAGGAGGACUUGAAAGUAAUUUUAAUUAUAUAAGAAUUUUGAAUAAGGCUCUGAAACGUGC